GCAGAAGAGAAUGAUCUUCCUUGCCCCGCGAAGAAGAUAAGCACAGGUGCUCCCGGUCGUCGCGCCUCGCUGGCCCCCGGUCGCCUCACACGACUCCGCUCCGCGCCCCCCUCCUCCUCCUGCUCCCCCGCCAAUCCGGCGACCCCCCACCCACCCCGCCUGAUCGGCCGCCUCCCCCGUCCCCCCCUACACCACGCAGCCCCAGCCCAGGCCCCGCCCCGCAAUGCCGGGCCUCGUCGCCGCCGAGCAGGACGCCGUCUCGCUGGNNNNNNGCGUCGCCCGGGCCCUCAACCGCCGGAUCUCCGACCUCGUCGCCCUCCUCUUCCGCCACAAGAGCGCGGGGUCCUUCGGCGCCGUCGCGGGCUUCGCCAUCGCCGUCGUCUUCGCGUGGAAGUUCCUGCGCUCCUCCUCGACGCCCCGGCCCCGCCGCCCCGCCGCCCCCAAGCGGCCCUCGCCCGCCGGCUCCGCCGCGCCUGCCCCCGACGGCCCGGCCGAGCCCGCCGGCGACUCCGGGACGCUGACGACGCGGCAGAUCGUGGCGAGGCGGCUCGGCGGGUGCCGAAGGGUCACUUGCCAACUAAUCGGUAUCGUAUUUGAGGAGAAAACUCCCGAGGAGCUUCAGAAUCAUGCCACCGUUAAGCCCUCAGUGGUGGAACUACUACUGGAAAUAUCCAAAUACUGUGAUUUUUAUUUGAUGGAAACUGUACUUGAUGAUAAGAGUGAGGAGAAUGCUCUUAUGGCCCUGGAGAAAGCCGGGCUUUUCAAUACUGGUGGCUUGAUGAAAGAAAAGGUACUCUUUUGCAGCAGUGAAGUAGGCCGAACUUCGUUUGUUCGACAGUUGGAGUCAGAUUUCCACAUCGACGCAAGCCUCGAGAUAAUUUCCCAACUAUCUCGGUUCAUCCGGUGCCAGCUAUUCGUUUCCUCCAUGGAAGGAGGGCAGCUCGCAGCCAAUGUAUUUAACUCUCCGAGCCUGGAGCAGUUCUUCUCUUGAGAACGGUAGGGAAAACAUAAGGGGUUCACACCCUAAUAGCACAUCCUUUCAAGCCCCGAGGUGUCAGGCAAUUCCGUGAUGCCAGCUUCGCAGAAGAACCUCAGAAUAUAAAGUGAGGCAGGCAACCCACUGCUGAUCAUGUCACCGCAGCUGUCGCUGGUUCAUUCAGUUGGCCUUGUAGUUGUGCUUGUAGUUAAUAACAAUGGUAAGUUAGACUGAUGAGGUUGAUCAUGGCAGUGCACUGAAGAUGUAAAUUGCAUGCAUGACACAAAGCAAGCAUCAUCCUCUAUAUAAAGAGAACUUUCGUCAUUGGAGCUUGGGCAGUCGUAUCAACUUGUGUGUGUAACUGUAGAUGAUGGUAUUAUGAUCUGCAUUCAUACUUCACUGAAGUGUACUGGAUGUGAACUUAAACUUACCGUGCUGCCCAGCUCGCCCCAGGGGUUGAGAGUCGUAACGCUGAUCAGCCAGAUCUUUGCAUGAACUGAAAGAUUGUGUGGAAAGAUUUAGAGAAAGGC
rnacentral:rRNA from 1 species